GAACCUGCGGAGGGAUCAUUACACAACAAAAUAUGAAGGCCUGGCUUCGCGGCCGGCUGAAAUAUUUUUUUCACCCAUGUCUUUUGCGCACUUGUUGUUUCCUGGGCGGGUUCGCCCGCCACCAGGACCAAACCAUAAACCUUUUUUUUAUGCAGUUGCAAUCAGCGUCAGUAAAAACAAUGUAAUUAUUACAACUUUCAACAACGGAUCUCUUGGUUCUGGCAUCGAUGAAGAACGCAGCGAAAUGCGAUACGUAGUGUGAAUUGCAGAAUUCAGUGAAUCAUCGAAUCUUUGAACGCACAUUGCGCCCUUUGGUAUUCCAAAGGGCAUGCCUGUUCGAGCGUCAUUUGUACCUUCAAGCUUUGCUUGGUGUUGGGCGUUUUUUGUCUCCCUCUUUCUGGGAGACUCGCCUUAAAACGAUUGGCAGCCGGCCUACUGGUUUCGGAGCGCAGCACAUAUUUUGCGCUUUGUAUCAGGAGAAAAGGACGGUAAUCCAUCAAGACUCUACAUUUUUAACUUUGACCUCGGAUCAGGUAGGGAUACCCGCUGAACUUAAGCAUAUCAAUAAG
rnacentral:rRNA from 1 species